rnacentral:rRNA from 1 species
GACGAACGCUGGCGGCGUGCCUAAUACAUGCAAGUCGAGCGGACUUGCAGGAGUGCUUGCUCUCCUGAGAGAUAGCGGAGGACGGGUGAGUAACACGUAGGCAACCUGUCCUCAAAACUGGGAUAACUACCGGAAGCGGUAGCUAAUACCGGAUAAUUUAUUACAUAGUAUUAUGAGAUAAUGAAAGACAGAGCAAUCUGUCACUUGGGGCAGGGCCUGCGGCGCAUUAGCUAGUUGGUGGGGUAACGGCCCACCACGGCGACGAUGCGUAGCCGACCUGAGAGGGUGAACGGCCACACUGGGACUGAGACACGGCCCAGACUCCUACGGGAGGCAGCAGUAGGGAAUCUUCCGCAAUUGGCGAAAGCCUGACGGAGCAACGCCGCGUGAGUGAUGAAGGUUUUCGGAUCGUAAAGCUCUGUUACCAAGGAAGAACGUCUCAUAAAGUAACUGUGAUGAUAGUGACGGUACUUAAGAAGAAAGCCCCGGCUAACUACGUG